UUACACAGCUCCUGUUCAUGAGUCACUAUCAGAUGGCUAUCUGCUUAUUGCUGCUAGUGGAGGGCUGAUUCAACAAAGAACUGGAUGGCGGUUGGAAGGGAUUUUCAUUUGCUCAAAAGUUACUAUCGGGUGAUAUUCUGUUCUUUCAUCUAGUUGGAAGCUGCAAGCUACAGGAGACGUCGUAAACGAGGAAAAUGGAGAUGGAAGGUCGAUAAGGA